GUUUGCAAAGGUCUUGAGUCUCUGGCAGGAACUGCUUGCUUAGCUUGAGUAUUUCUGUCCCAGUUGCCUGCUUUGUAUCAACAAGCACCUCUCUCCUCAGCCACUCACAGCCCUGUCCUCUCUACAUCCAAUGCCAAGGUCUGGGGAUCCUCACUGGGACACUCAGCCUUGGGUUGGCCCAAUCAGGACUUAGACCCAAUCGGGAGAGACAGCCCCUGGCUUCUCUUCUCCAGGCCUUGAAGUAAAGACUGGGCGUGCUCCUUUUCACCAGUGCUGACAGCCCAGAAGAUGAAGCUGAGGAGCAGGUGAAGUUGACUGAAUGCCAUACUUCCUGCCUCUUCUCAAGACCCCAUGGAGGCUUUCCAGAGGAUGAGAGGGAAUGAAGUCCCAAGUGGAAGCCAGCAGCGGCUAUAUGGAACUGCCCAGCCUGUCUGAGGAAGAUCCUGGCCCAAGUCCAGAUGUAGGACACUCAGCUACCUCUUCAGUACCAUGUCUGCCUGCAUGCUGCCAUGCUCCCCACCGUGAUGAUAAUGGAUUGAAUUUCUGAAACUAGCACACAUUUAGGAGUUCCAGGCCUCAGUUUCCUCAGCUCACAAGGCCAAAGGCACAGAUGAGCCAUCACCAGUGCAUCAAGAUCAGAGUGAGAAGCCUGAACCAUAAGAGCCCAGUGUGAACGGCUCAAAGAAGACUUCUGAGAGGAAUUUGAAGCAGGAAAACCUGGGCAUAGCAAGUCCCCCAUGCAGGAAGUGGGCACCCACUCCCAAGACCAUCAUCCUGACGCUUGUGUCAAGGCUCUGGAAUCCUCUCCAUGCCUGGUCAGACCUCCCAGGUACCUCCAGCUUCUGUGCUGGUCUCUGUCUUCCUAUGUCCUCCAUCUCAGGACAGGCAACCCUUCUUCACAUUCACAGCCUCACCUGGCAUUCAGGUGCCAGUUCAGCUCUCAGCCUUGCCCACACCAUCUCCCCUUGGGCCUCACAAGGGGCACCCUGGCAUGGAGUGAGCCAGGUUCUCCAGGUCCCAGGGCAUGUCCUGAUUCUCUCUGCCUGGAGCCUUUUGGGGGAGUUGGGGAGAUGCAGGAGGAAAGGGUUCUGAGAGCUUGAGAGACAGGACAGUGCAGGCAUGGAGUAGGGCUGGGCUGAGCUGUCUGAGCAGGGACCACUCCUCAGUGCCAGCGGAAUCAAAGACUCAUGAUGUCCAGAGAUUUCCAAGGUCAGAGGGAGCCCAGUAAGACCCUCCCAGUCCAGCCCAACAAAAGCCCCUGUAACUCACAGGGACUUCUAUUGUCAUCCUGGAGUCUCAACUUAGGUGUGGCUGGGCACACAAUUAGCUGAGACCAACCCUGGCCAGGUUUUCUCAAUAAAAUUUCUGAGCCCCAGAGCAUGAAGGGUGGUCAACCAAUCCCUCCCCCACUACACCCCUGGGCUUUCCCAUUUCCGCCUCUGGCUGUGCAGGCAUGCAUGACAAGAUGUUAGAGGUUCCUGACUGUCCAGCAUUGGCAUUCCCUGUACCCUGGCCCAUGUCUCUCCCCAAGUUCUUCCAGAGGGCUGUGUACAGUCUCAGUUCACAGGACCUACAGGUGUCCCUCCAGCUAGAGGCUCUAAGAGCCACAAAGGCAGGAGACCACUAAGCAGUAUGGGUGACAAGCUGCAGGAUGGACAAUAUCACUGACUAACAGGACCCUGAAGUUUGGCUGGCUGGCCGUAGCACCCAAUGUCACGUUCUGGCCUUGGAUCAGGAGGUCCUAGUAUCUGCAUCUCCUAAAGAGCACUGUAAGGGCUCUACAUCAGUAUCAGAGAGCAUCAUAGGGACAGCACAACGACAUAUCUUGGGGAGCACCAUAUCUGUAUCUCUUGUGGAGCACUAUGGGAGCACUCAAUGAAUCAUGGUUUCAUGUAGAGCACCUUGGGAAUGACUUCCUUAAUAAAG
ensembl:lncRNA